rnacentral:lncRNA from 10 species
CAGAACCCCAGAGUGUUGAGGGCCUUGUCCAGUAACACCGUCAGCCCCUGGAGUGAAGCCUGCCUGCCUUCCAGGAAAAAGAAACUUUCCUUCCCCCAGUGAAUGGCCCUUUACAACUCUGCCACUGAUGAGGAGACUGUGGUUAACUGGUAUCUGUCGUGAUUCACAUGAGACAAAAACUAUCUAUUACAGAAACCAUCAAAUACCAACAGCUGGGCCUGGACGUUAUUUGAUGAGCUUCUAGAGAUCUCCAAUGGAAGAAGACUCAUCUAAAAAAGGACCUUGCCUGGAAUGUGUUUAGAGUGGGAAAUACAGUGCUCUCAUGGGUACAGUGCACUCUUCAUGGAUAGCUACUAAAACUCCCUGCCCUGGCUCUGCUAUGAAGUUCCCCCUACCUAGAUGAGUGGCUUUGAAAGCAAAAGAUAAUGAUUGACAUCUGAGCAGUACAGAAGUUGAUACUGACAGCAGGCUGUACUACUUUGGCAAGAUGAUAAUGACUUAUAUAGAUGUGGCAAACCAGUUAAACUGUCUAAACAUGCCCAUAUGCAAUAGUUUAUUUUACUUUUAUUUAGUUGUUUAUUGAGAUAGGGUCUUACUCCCAUCCAGGAUGAAGUGCAGUGGCAUGAUCACGAUUCACUGCAGCCUCCAGUUUCUGGCCUCAAGUGAUCCUCUCACCUCAGCCUCCUGAGUAGCUGGAAUUACAGGUGUGUGCC